GCCUAGUUAGCUUGGUGGGUAAGUAGAGCGUCUGCCUUGUAAGCGCUAGGUCGCGGGUUCAAUUCCCGCCCGACGCG
rfam:Asian citrus Psyllid, Diaphorina citri - Florida Strain, whole genome shotgun sequence.